AAUGAGGAAGGGAAACAGGGCGGGCGUCAUUUUAUUGUUCUUUGCGUACACACCCGGCGCCCUAUUUCCGAAGCUGCGCAUGCGCUCGCGAAGCGGCUUUUCGGACCUAGCGCGACCAGUUAACCAAAGAGGGGAAUCCGCCCUCAUUCCGGGGGGCAGGGUGGCAGCAGGGGAAGGAGGGAGCUGGUCCUCCAGUAUCCCAGACUGCAACGCGACGCUAGUGGCGUCGUUCACCACUCCCUUCGUCUCCUCCGCGUCUUCCCUCAGCCGCCGGCCGCCAUGUUGUGCUAGUUUCUUCGAGCUCAUCGGCGGCGGGCGCUCACCCACCCGCAAGAACAACCCAGCGGUGCCGUGAGAAGUAGGAGGGUCGCGGGUUCUUCGCACCGCGUUCUCACAGGACCCGGCGCCAUGGCAGCCGCCUUAGGAGGAGGAGGAGACGGGGGAGCAGAUGAUGACUUUGAUCAGUUUGAUAAGCCUGGUGCAGAAAGAUCUUGGAGGAGAAGAACUGGAGAUGAUGACUGGGACAGUGAAUUAGAUGAUGACUUGCUAGGAGAAGAUUUGCUGACUGGUAAAAAAACCCAGUCAGAUAUGUCAGAUGAAGAAUUGAAUGAUGAUCUUCUACAGAGUGACAAUGAAGAGGACCAACAUUUCAGCUCUCAGGAUGUCACAGUUAGUCUUAAUGCUACAUCUGGAGUGGCUGCAUCCUUUGAGCUCUUGGAGAACGCUAAUGAUCAAUCUAUUGAGCAAGAUUCAGAGUACGAACAAGGGGAAGAUGAAUUGGGUUAUGACAAAUCAGAAGUGCCUGAAGAAUAUGCUGAGGAAUACACAGAAGAAGGGCAGUAUGAAGGCCAAGAGGCUGAGCUGACUGAAGACCAAAUAGAAUAUGGGGAAGAUCAGGGGGAAGAAGAAAUUUAUAACGAUGGAGUGCUAGAUCUCGAAAUCAAUGAACCUCUAGAUGAUUUCACAGAUGAAGAUUAUAUGCAGUCUUACAGUGAGCAGCAAGUAAUUGAACAGCAAGAAUAUGUAGCUGAAGAAGAACUGGAAGAGGUUGCUGACACUCAGACACCUCCAAAUGAGACGGAAGAGGCAGUUAUUGAAAAUCUGGAGCUGCAAGAAGAAACCAAAGAGGAGUCCGAUGAAGAAGAAGAAGAUGACGAAGAAUCCGGUCGAUUACGUUUCAAAACUGAACGGAAAGAAGGAACCAUCAUUAGGCUUUCGGAUGUAACAAGAGAACGAAGAAACAUUCCAGAAACUUUGGAACUUUCUGCAGAAGCUAAAGCAGCAUUACUUGAAUUUGAAGAGAGGGAAAGGCAACUGAAGCAGGGGCGUUACGGCUCAAGAAGAGGAGGAAGGAGAGGAGGGCCUUUAAUGUGUCGUGGAAUGGGAGAACAAAGGAGGGACAACAAUGAAAGGGGAAGAAUGAAGGAUCACAGGCCUGCACUGCUGUCGACCCAGGCAUCUCUUACGACACAUUCAGAAAGGAUGUUUCGUCAUCAACAACCUAUUAGGAAUCUCUUCCAGCAGCAGCAGCAGCAACAGUUACAGGGUCUGUUACCCAUUCCCUCUCAGCAUCACACACCAUCUCCCCCUCAAGGGAUUCAUAUGCCACCCCAGCUAGAAACAUCAAGAAUGCUGAUGACUCCUCCUCCAGUGACAUCCCAGCAGCCAAAAAACAUACACAUAAACCCACACUUCAAAGGGCCUGUAGUAACGCCUGUACAAGUGCCCUUGCUGCCAGUCCCAAACCAGCCAAGACCUGCUGUAGGACCCCAGAGAUUUCCUGGUCCUCCAGAGUUUCAGCAGAACCCCGGUGGACCAGUUCCUACCAACUUCAGCCAAGCCCCAAGACUCUCCCUCCAAGAUCAGUGGAGAGGGCCACCCCCCCCUCUGCCACCCCCACCUCCACAGGACAGAGAGGCUUUCUUCAUGGGAGAGCCGAGAUUCCCCAGCCAUCACUUGUUUGAGCAGCGGAGCCCCCCUCCUCCACUACCUCCUCCACUCCUUAACAGCACCCAUCCUGUUCCCAGCCAAAGUCCGCUUCCUUUCAGUCAGCCUGGACCAGGUUUUAAUCAACAGGGGCAGCAGCAGCCCAUGUUUCCCAGAGAGAGAAUGGUGAGGCCAAACAUUCAGCCGCAGGGCCCAGUGGGAGUCCUUCACUUCAGCCAGCCUGGAGCAGCAAAUCCACGGCCCUUCCUCCCUCCCAGGCAGUCGUACAUGCAAGUGCCAGGGCAACCGUUUUUGACAACUCUCACUCAGCCUAAUUUGCAGGGUCCCUUGCACCCUCCUUUGCAACACCAGCAGCAUCCACAGGCACCGCAACAGCACCAGCCCCAUCCACAGCCGCAUCAGCAGCAUCCACAGCUGCAUCAGCAGCAUUCACAAACUGUGCAGCAGCAGCACCACCAGCAGCAUCAACCACACCAGCAGCAGCACCACCUCCUUGCUGUGCCCCCCCAGCCUCUGAUUCCUGUUGCUCCAUCCCAGUUUAGACCUCAUAUGCAGACUUCGCAGCAACAGUCAAGUGGCAGUCGGAUGCUGUGUCAGCAACGACAAGGUCUGGUAAAGGCCAGGCAUAAUACACCAACACAAAACAUUGUAAAGCGUCCAAAUCAGCAACUCCAGUCGCCUGCUCCAAGGAACAGUAAUUUGCGGGAAUUGCCAAUAGCACCUUUGCAUGCAAUUGAGGCUGCUAACAGGCGGACAUCAGCACCUGCUGCUCAAGUAAAGCCCAUUACCAGCACCACCGUGAGACCUGUUGCAGGUGUGAAGAACCAACAGGGGAGAACUGAGAUGAGACCUAGAGCAGUUACUCCAGUGGUACAACCUAAAGUGGAGGUGAAAUCUGAGCCAGAGUUUCCUGAUGAAGAUGAAGAAACAAGACUUUACCGCUUAAAGAUAGAAGAACAAAAACGUCUGAGAGAAGAGAUCCUGAAACAAAAGGAGCUCAGGCGGCAACUUCAAGCUGGGGCUCGAAAAAAAGAGUUGCUUGAAAGGCUUGCACAGCAGCAGCAGUGUUCUUUGGUACAACCACAGGAGGAAGAAACUUCACAAUUUUCCACCAACGGAAAUCCAUUGCUUCCCCUUCCUGGCGCACAGCCCCGCCAAAAUGUGAAAUAUAGGCUGAUGGUUAAAAAGCAAGACCCAGUAGUUUCAAACCCCCCCGCUAGUCAGCCUAAGCCCACAAACAUUCUGCAGGCUGGAGAUAACGCACAGUUUCAAGGACAGCAAAUAAAAACUGUAAAGCAGCUAAGACAGACUAGAAUGGUGCCUGAAAAUGAGCUCCAACUACCAUAUAAAGGGUUGCAAACAAAGCCUGCUGCGACACACCUGAACCCUUCUCAGAUUGCUCGGGUGGCAUCAGUACAAGGCCAACCUCAGGAACUGAGGCCUGGGGUGAAAAGAACUGUCAUGCAGCGGGCAAACAGUGGUAGUGGAGAUGGGCCCCAUGUCGGCACCAAAGUCAGGGUGAUUAAAUUGUCAGGAGGGGGUGGUGAGAAUGUUGGCUUUUCUCACUUAGAAGGGCCACCCCACCGACUCCAACAACCCCUGGAUCCAAGGCAUCAGCUAGUGCGGAAGGUCACAUUGACAAAAGGAACAGUACAGCAACCACAUCAGCACCAGAUGGCACAGAUCCACUCAACAAUCCCUCAAGGGCUGAAAAACAUCCCAGGGAUACAUCAAGCAAAAAAGGUCAUUACACACGGGAGAGGCAGAGGCAUUGCGGGCCAGAUGGGCCGAGGACGCUUGAUGCCAAAUAAACAGAAUCUGCGAGUGGUAGAGUGCAAACCUCAGCCCUGCAUUGUGUCAGUUGAAGGGCUUUCUUCAUCAACCACCGAUGUCCAACUGAAAAACCUGCUGAUGUCAGUAGGACCCAUUCAGCACCUGUAUGUGGAAUCCCAAAAGCGGAAGCUGGUAAAAAUUUACAGAUGCUUCCUCAACAGAGAAAGGCCAUAGCAAAAUUUAAAGAGCCUGCCGAUGCUCUAAAAUUUCAACAGAAGUUUCACAGGCAUAUGAUAGAUUUGUCCCACAUCAAUGUGGCACUGAUAGUGGAGUGAUCUGAAUGCCACAGGUCUAUUGUUCUACACAUAGCAUACUAUGGAGGAAGUUGCAAGGGCAGGAUCUCCUUGCAGUCUCCAAUGCCAGCUUUGCAGUAUCCUUUUGAAACUUCAGACUACUCUGUGACACUACAGACAGCAACAGCUAUGCUGCAAUGGAAGCGGAACUUGAAAGGAUGAAGAAUCAGAGUUUUGUCUUCUCUUUCUUUUACUGUAUUGAACACAUGGAGCUACAGGUUUCAUGGCCUUGUUGUGCACAAAUGGUGCACACAGAUGUUUUUCAAGAGAUGUACUGUGUGCUUACAGUGACUCAGAUUGAACGAACACUAACUUUGAAAGUUUUUUUAUGUAUCUUCAUAGCAAAGAAUAUUUGAUAAUGGUUGCUCUUAUCUUCUGUGUGGGGUGUUGAAAUGAGACUGUGCCUAUACCUACCUUUUUUAGCUAAGUAGAUAAAUAGAAUGAAACAUGGGCUACUUAAGUUGUUAUUUUUCCAAAAGCUCAUUCUUGAAAGCUCUUAUUCCCAGUGGGGUGAAUGCAACAAUGUGAAGUCCUGCACAUGGCUCUCAAUCUUCUUCCCUUUCCAACAUUUCCUUGUAGGAAUAACCUUCCCAUUUUCUCCUCUCCUCGUAUCUGAGAGACAUGACUGUUAGCAUUCUUUAUUGUAUCUUAGCUUGCUUUUGAGGGCGAUUACAGGAUGCCAGACUGGGGAGGUGAAGAGGUGGGGGGUGAGACCCUGUACAUAUUUACAUUCUUUGUAACACUAAUGGUGGUAUAUAAAGAAAUGCUAUUCAUUUCUGACAGGCUGUUGUUGUGAAUUGUACCACCGAUGCAGAGUUUGCAUCUUAUAAUCCAUUAUUUUGAUUGUGUCUUUCUUUGAGAUUUUCUUGGUCUAAUAAUUUUCAGCAAAUACUGCAUAAUGUGAAAGGCAGUUGAAUUGUACAAGGUAAAUUUACAAAGCCUCCCCCCGGCCCCGGGAUGCCAGGCUGGUCUAAAUAUUAUGUGUAGACUCUAAGGAAGCUGUGUUUUAUAUAGCAAGUAAAACUUGUCAUUGGAUCCUGAUAGUUUCUUCCAAAGGAAGGCAUUUUUGUUGCCAAAAUUGCCUUUGUGCCCAGGUAUUUGGGGGGGGGGGAGGAAGCUUCCUUAAUUCAAUAAAUAUUUUUCAGUGCUAAUGUAUUAGGCAUCUGCCCAAAUAGAAAGCAACUACAAGCAUUUUUUUUACUUUUACGGUAGCUAAAAUAGAAAUGUCAGAGUAGGAAAAACCUUUCAAAUAAUAAUAUUCUUUAAGGCCAGCAUUUUAUGUGAGAUUGAGAGAUUGUAAAGUUGUUUUUUUAUUAUGUAAAACCAAACUCUAUAUACAAGUAGGAAUUUUUAAACUGCUUUCCCAGUUAAGGCAAAGUUAUGGGAAUAAACAAUAAAGCUAUAAAUAUUGUCAUGUCUUUUAAAGUCAAAAUUGCAUUCUUUACCCAAUGGAAAUAUUGCAGGAGUAGUUUGAUUGGCAUGUUGCAGUAGUAAAAGUGUGAUAUUUUAAAUGUGUUUUUAAUGACUAGCUAGUAAACACCAUCACAAUCCUUCUGAAAUGCCCUGCCUUGACCCAUGCUCUGGAGGUGAGUUUUGCUGUCCUUUAUCAUUCUAUGCCCUUAAUUUGUGGUUCUCAAGGCAACCGGGAACUUGGUUUAUGUUGGAUUGCUUAGGCUGCAAUCCACUACAUACGUUCCUGGGAGUAAGUCCCAUUGAACCCAGUGGAGCUUAUUUCUGAGUAGACGUGUAUUGGAUUGCAGCCUUAGUCUCCCUCUGCUGUAGUGUGUUUCAAAGGUUUACAGGCAUUAGACUCAGAAGCAUAACACCAUACAUAACUGAAUGGACUGUGCUUACGUCCACGUCAGCUUUUGUCCUUGUGCAGACACUGAGCCUGCCGUUAUGGUUGAGUUUGAAAUUAUUGAUAAAAUGUGGCUCUUCAAUCCCACAGUUCAGGUACAGCUUCUCCAUAAUGAAUAAUAGACUGGGCAAAAUGUGGAUUGAUCCAGGUGGUGGUUGAACUGCAUGCAAUGUAGGCAACACUAAGGAGCGGGGCUCAGCAGUAGGCAAGGCUUCACUGGUUUGGCAGUGUUAAAAGCAAACAUGCUUGCUGAAAGGGGUUUUAUGGUGCCUAAGCAGCAAGUUCACAGUUCAGAUCUGGGAAACAUCUUUUUCAGAUGGCAACAGGACAUCUGUUAGGAUACAUUACCUUUUGAGCUCCUAAGGGAAUUGUGAGGGGUUUUUUUUAACUAUGUAAGGGUUUUAGACCUCUGUUUUUGAGAAAUAGGCUGUGGUAUGGCAUUUAAUGUAGUGGGUGCUUUUUGUAGCAUUAAAGUGUAGGCACAUCUGUCUGACUCUUGUUAUAGGCAAUAGUGUAUGCCUAGUGUGUGCAUAAUUGUGCAUGUGUGCACAGUUAGAUAUGUUGUAUGCUCACUAUUUCAACACUAGAACGUUCCUGUUUUUGUUAUGGGGAGACAGAGAAGAGGGUUAUUCUUUCCCUCCAUAGCUGGUAGCAGGAAUCCCAUAAUCUGGGUGGCAGGCACCCAGGCUCUAGGUUGGAGUAUCGUUAAGAUACUGUAAUACAAUAACUUGACUGAUUAAUGAUAAUUUUGAACUGGAUAUAUUGGCGGAAUAAUAGUGUGGCUUUCCUUUUCUUCUGAGGUGCCUUCCACAAAAGCAAAAUCACAGUUAAGAAUAGGAGGCCUGUCCUUUAUACAAUGCUUCACCAGUUUAAUUUUUUGUAGAAGAUCUGUUGCAACCAUUAUCUUGUUCUUUCUGUAUCAUGCAUUUAAAACAAGUUGUGAAUGCAAGAAUUGCAUUUAAUGUAUUAUGUAAAUAAGAGACUUUUAAACAAAAUUUAAAUGAAGCUAUUGACAUGCUUACAAUUCAGCCACAUCAAAGCUUAUUUGGUGGGGAGGGGGUGUUGUCUUAUCAAAGUUGAAUGGAAGCGUUUCCGUAAAUGUUCAUUUUUAUUUUUAUUUUGGUGUAACACUUCACUGUUUUUUUUUAUAAAGAUGCUAGUAUGUCAAUACAUGUAUCCUGACCUGUGUAUUAUUUGUUCAUAAAGCUUCAGAAACUUGGAAUGGAUAUUUAGUCAGUGAAUACUAUUGGUGGAAUCAAUUUUUUUCUCAUUUAGAGAUAUUUUCACUUAAAUUUGCAACAUUUCCUAGUGUACUUCAACUCAUGUCCUUGCUGAUGAAAAACUGCAGCCACCUGGUACUGGAAUAGUAAUUAUUUUAUACGGUAAAUAAGCUAAAUGGGAAAUAACAGUAUCCAUUGUUUUUACAGUGGGUUUGUGUGUUUUUAGUUUGGGCAUGGGAGCUUUUUUAGUUUUGUUAAUCUUAAUUUAUAAUUCAUACCUCUAUUUAUCUGCCGGAUAAUAGUGUUUCCAUCAAGACUGUGAAAUGAAGGCUAUUUUUUUCAUAGUGAUGAUGCAGAUGAAUCAUGGAAACGUGUAGCAGUCCUCCCUAUUGUUUUUAACAUUCCUUCAAACUUUCAAAAGACUCUUUGUUAAAAUACUGAGCGUAAAGGAGAGAUGCUCAACUUAAGUUAAUUUAUAAAUACAGAAGUGCCACAUUUAUAUUUUUCUAAUUCUAGGACCUUGAACUACAGGGGUAAAACAAAGCUAAAUUACCUGGGGAAGAAUAUAUGAAAUAUAUGUGGCUACAAUCUACAGGCUGCAUCACAAUAGAUUGUUAGAACUACUGAAACAUCCUACUGAUGAAAAAGAGAAAUAAUUGGCCUAUGGCCUCUUGGUCAGGGAUGAGGUAUCUGUGGCUGUCCAGAUGUUGCUGGACUGCAACUCUCACUGUCCCUCACCAUUAGCCAUGCUGGCUGAGGUCGAUGGGAGCUGGAAUCCAGCAACACGUGGAGGAUCACAGGGUCCCCAUCCCUGGUCUUGGUGCUGUAAUACCACAAAAUAUGUGGCAAGACUCAAUCAUUACUAAAGAGAAUUAGAGUGUUGAUAUGACCAUUUAUAUGGAGAAAUGUCAGCAUAAGAUGGCAUUUCCCCUUCAUUGGUUACUUGUUCCUAUAAUGAGCCCCAUGUAGUGAAAUCAAGAGGUAACACGUUCUUUUUCAAUGACUAAUGUCACAGGGUACUGUAUUUCAUUACCAGGGGGACUCGUAAUACCAAAAGUGGCAAACACCAAAGAAAUGAAGGGGUAAUUUCACCUUGUGGUGAUAUUUUUCCCUGUAAUAACUGAUGCUACAAACGUACUCUUUUUAGUUUCACCACACUUUACUUGUGGUUUUUGCCUGCAACGUACUCAAUCUUAAUCAGCUAGUUGGUAGCCUAAAACUUUUAGCUGGCACCAGGAAGUCAGAUUAAUUAUUGUUAACUAUUACCCAUGGGAUACACAUUUAGAUACUAGUUCAGUACUAAGUAUUUUAGCAUUUGUUUGUUUAUUUGCUACACUACCUUUCUAAUUUGCACAAUGAUAUCCUUCAUCUGGAGAACUUUAACUGCCAACACUUCCCAAGAAUCUUUUCUGUCUAUUCCCUAGUAUCUGGAAAGGUAAUGAGAUGUGUUUCCUUAACCCUAUCUUUUCUGAAUAGGCUCAUAGUUCUUGAAAGUGACAUUACCUUCUUCCAUUGGCCUUCCGCUACAUGUGCUGUUACUGGAAGGCUAAGCUACUGGUCUUGCAUACCUGAUGGACAACACUUUUUUGUGUCUGUCUUCAAUCACCUGCUUAUAAACUUGCUCACUGUCUUCUAAGCUUUAUCUUGCAGCAGCAAUUUUGGACCUAAUGAAGAACGCUUGCUAAGUGACACGGGUGGGGGAGGGGUGGAAUUAGUUUUUAAGCCAUAGAAUGCCUCUAGAAUAGAACGCCUUGACUUCUUGAGGGGUUGCCUAUGGAAUGUUGCAUUAGCAUAACUAUUUAAGCAUUAAGACAAAUUUAUAAUACCAAUACUAUUAGAGGAGUAUUGCAAUAGUAUUAAAUCCUAAGGAUUUUGUGUAAGGUUUUUGGAAACCUAUUUAAUUUUUUAAAAAACCAAACUUAUUUAACAGCCUAUAAGCUAUGUAAGCCUGGGGGCCUUAUGUAUAGACCAUUGAUUCACAUUGAAUCUCAUGUAUACCAUCUUCUGGUAUAAAUAUGGUUGGGAAGGAUCUUUCUUGGGGUAGGGUGGGGGAUAUUCGGCAGAUUUAUUCCAAAGCUCCAUGCUUGUUUUUGGUAGAAAUAUCACAUUACACAUUUCAUGAGUUUCACAUUACAUGAGAGUUUUGUUGAGAAGAUUGGGUUGUUGUUGUUUUUUAAAAAAAUCUAUAUAAUAAUGAAUUGCUGCUCUUUCCUGUUGGGUUGGAUGUUAUAGAAAGAGGCAAUCUGUUAACAACUGCUGAUUUUUCAGAAGGUCUUUGUUAGAGGUUGUUAGUGUUCUCUUUAAUUUGGUUUUACAGAUAACAUCUGGUUGGGGUUGCUUUUUAAUGAGUUUAUAUAGAAAUGGUAUCUGCUCAUUUGGAAAUAUGACUGUUAACUGUAUCAUAUUUAUCUGGUUAUUUGUACAUUUAUAUCUGGUAUUUUCCUAUGUGUAGCAAUUUUUCUUUUUCUCAUUUCUGCGUAGCUAAAAAUAUAAACUAAUUGGUUUUAAAUAAUCAGAUCAUUUUCUUUACAGGUACAGGAAACUGGGGAGUUGAUUCCCACCCCCAGCUCUCCAGAGCAUCACCUGGAAAUAAAUAUAUUUCUUUUACAGAUACAACAGAUGCAUUAAACUCUUUCAUUCACAGCUGACCCUCGGAUCUUUAUAUGUUAUGCCUUUUUUAAAUUAUAAUUUUUGUUCCAUGCCAGUAUUUACUUUUUAUCAUUCCUGUAGCACUUUACAGUUCACAAAAUGCUUUUUAAUUCUUAAUUCAUUAAUCCUCACUAAUAAUCCUGGGUAGUAUUCAAUUCUAGCCCUACUCAGAGUAGAUACACGGAAGUUCAUUGACAUGUCUAACUUGUUAGUUGAUUUCAGUGGGUCUAUUCUGAGUAGGACCUAGCUGAAUACAGUCCCCCAAGCUGAUAAAGGAGCCUUUGUGAGGAUUUUUCCAAAGAGGUAGCCAUGUUAGUCUGCUGUAGCAAAAAUAACAGUCUUAUGGCACCUUAAAUAUAAAAUUUGGUAGUCUUUAAGGUGCCACAAGUCUCUUUGUUCAGAUGUUUACCCAAAGCCAUCAAUAUUUAUUAUUUAUUUAUUUAUUCAGCUUAUAUCCCGCCUGACUAGCAAACAGCUCUCUGGGCGGCAAACAUAGCAACAUAUACAAUAAUAAAAUUACAAAGUCAGUAUAACAAAUAUAAAAAUACACCAUCUAAAAUAGAAAUUACAGCAUUAACAUAAAUAACUUAAAUUAAAAUGCCUCAGAGAAGAGAAAGAUUUUAACCUGGCACCGAAAGGAUAAUAGUGUCGGCGCCAGGUGUACCUCCUCGGGGAGACUAUUCCACAAUUCGGGGGCCACCACUGAGAAGGCCCUAGAUCUUGUUACUACCCUCCGGGCCUCCCUAUGGGUCGGGACCCGGAGGAGGGCCUUCGUAGUAGACUGUAGUGUACGAGCCGGUUCGUAACGGGAGAGGCAUUCCUGCAGGUAUCGUGGUCCCACGCCGUAUAAGGCUUUAUAGGUUAAAACCAACACUUUGAAUCUGGCCCGGUAGCAUAUUGGAAGCCAGUGCAAGCGAGCCAGAACAGGUGUUAUAUGCUCAGACCGCUUAGUUCUUGUUAGCAGUCUGGCCGCCGUAUUUUGCACUAGCUGUAGCUUCCGAACCGUCUUCAAAGGUAGCCCUACGUAGAGCGCGUUGCAGUAGUCCAAACGUGAGGUUACCAGAGCAUGAACCACUGAUGUAAGGUCCUCAAGUUAACUAAGCCUCAUGGAGAUGUGGUUCUUUUGGGUCCAGAGCCACCACUUUCCACAGUUAGACACUCAUCUGCUCCUUUCCCAUCUAGCUGUUUAACUACACCCAUCUUUGCUGUCAUCCAGUUCCACAGCUCUUCUUCCUAAUGUAGAAAGCCAGUAGAACCCAGUUAGUUGCACCCAUUGAAUAUCCUUCUGGGCCAUUGUGGAUCUAAGAAAAUUACAUAGGACUUUGGGAAGCAAUCCUGCUUGUGUGUGGUGAGCAGGGUGUGGAGUGACUCCAUGAGAGGUGUCAGUGUAGCCCUCCUGAACCCCUUCAUAUAAUUCCAUCACAGCUGCCGCUGCUAUAUUCUAGCCAAAUCAUUCAGUUCAAGGCAAGGCUCUCCCGUACCUCAUGUUCAGUAACCUACCUUUGUUGUCCUCUUCCAAAUGACAUUCCUGCUUCCAUGACCAGUAACCCAACAACAAGGUGGUCCCAUUGUCCACUGACCAUUGUUCAGCCACCAUUUUGGAAGCCAUUGGGCCAUUUCACUAAUAAGGCACCUUGUAUCAGUAGUUUGUAUCAAUAGUUUCCACAGCUUUUUGGAAGAUCAUUUUGAGUACUUGCAAAUGCUUUGGCUGUUGGUGAGGUACAACUAAUACUUCCUUACAGGUUUCCUUUCUUUUUUUAGGAAUGAUGAGCAUUGCAGAGAACUGGAGACUGUAUUCUUUAACCAUUCAAUUUUUGUACAUUCCUUAUCCAUGCAGGAAAGUGGUAUCUGUGGCAGUCCCAGAAAAACAAAGCGUUACUAACCCCUCUUUCCCCCCUCUUCCUUUUUGCAGGCUUUCCUAGUUCUCUCUGAAUUCAGUGAUAGGAAUAGCUCUGUAACAUUUCUCAUGUAAGAAAAGUGUCAACCCUUUGAGUCAUUUAUUACUAUUACUGGUGUGAUCCUUCCUAACCUGUAACCUUGUGAAAUAUUAUAUACAUCUGAGUACAAGCAGCUGUGCCGUUCAAAGUUAUUCUGUUCUAAUCUGGACUGUGAAACUCGUGUAUUACAAUCAAUGCAAUAGACAGCUGUUAUGAUACUAACUCCAUUGGGGAGUUGUUUCUCACCUCAUGUUUUCUAUAGAAUCAGCUAACCAAGUUAUUUUACAGCUCAUUUUCUUAAAUGUAAAACUUUGUGCAUUUUGCACCAAAAUUCCUGCUUACCUUAGCAGGUUUUUCGGGAGGCUGUUAAUGUGAUACGAAUGUAGAAAUGACUUCUGAGAAAUAAGCAAUGUAAAAAAAUGGAUUCCAGAUUUCAACUGUCAUUAUGCAGUUAAACAUUCAAAUGUCAUUAUUUACUGAA